rnacentral:misc_RNA from 1 species
AAGUCGUAACAAGGUUUCCGUAGGUGAACCUGCGGAAGGAUCAUUACCAAAAGGCGAGAAAUCGCUUUCAACCCGCUAGGUGGCCCUCCUGGGCCGCCGAACCGGCCAACCCUUUGUGAACCAAAAAAACCUUUCGCUUCGGCAGCCGGGCCUGACCGCCUGUCAGCCUGCCGCUAGCACCAACCUUUAAACCUGUUGUCAAACAUUGUCUGAUAACCAAAAUUUUCGAAUGAAAAUCAAAACUUUCAACAACGGAUCUCUUGGUUCCC